AUUUAAAUAAUUUAAUUAAAAUAUUGAUUUGUGGUAUCAAAAAUAUGAAGUAAUUCAUUUUAAAUU
rnacentral:tRNA from 1 species